rnacentral:rRNA from 1 species
CCAAUAGCGUAUAUUAAAGUUGUUGCAGUUAAAAAGCUCGUAGUUGAACUUCGGGGUCUACCCAUUGGUCAGGCUUAAUUGUUUGCACUGGUGAGAUGGAUCUCUACCUUCUGAGGAACUUUCAUGCCAUUUAUUUGGUGUGAUGGGAAAUCAGGACUGUUACUUUGAAAAAAUUAGAGUGUUUAAAGCAGACUAUCGUCUGAAUACAUUAGCAUGGAAUAAUGAAAUAGGACGGACUGAUUCUAUUUCGUUGGUUUCUAGGAUCACCGUAAUGAUUAAUAGGGAUAGUUGGGGGCAUUAGUAUUCAAUUGUCAGAGGUGAAAUUCUUGGAUUUAUUGAAGACUAACUACUGCGAAAGCAUUCGCCAAGGAUGUUUUCAUUAAUCAAGAACGAAAGUUAGGGGAUCGAAGACGAUCAGAUACCGUCGUAGUCUUAACCAUAAACUAUGCCGACUAGGGAUCGGACGAAGUUAAUUUUAUAAUGACGCGUUCGGCACCUUACG